GAUGAACGCUGGCGGCGUGCUUAACACAUGCAAGUCGAGCGAGAAGUUUUGAAAAGAUUCUUCGGAUGAAAUUUAAAAUGGAAAGCGGCGGACGGGUGAGUAACGCGUAGGCAACCUGCCCCAUACAAAGGGAUAGCAUUUGGAAACGAAUAUUAAUACCUUAUGAAACUUAACUAGUGCAUGCUAGGUAGGUCAAAGAUUUAUCGGUAUGGGAUGGGCCUGCGUCUGAUUAGCUAGUUGGUGAGGUAACGGCUCACCAAGGCGACGAUCAGUAGCCGACCUGAGAGGGUGAACGGCCACAUUGGAACUGAGACACGGUCCAAACUCCUACGGGAGGCAGCAGUGGGGAAUAUUGCACAAUGGGGGAAAUCCCUGAUGCAGGCAACGCCGCGUAACGA
rnacentral:rRNA from 1 species